AUGGCCAAGGCUGGUAGUAAAAUGGCACUAAUUCUUAACUUGAUUCUAGUGCUCUCUCUUGUUCUAAUGAUUUCCAUAGCUGAGAGUAGACAAGUUGGCAGUAAGAAUUAUUAUUUCCCUUUAAAUGAUUUCUUUUUAGUUUCACAUAAAUAUAUAUGAAGAAAAAAAUUGUUAGUUUUUCAUAUCUAAUACAUGCAUUCAUAUUUGCAGUUGGAUUUGGAGGGAAAAAACCUGCCGCAUUUUGCAGUGCAGUUUAUGGUGCAGAGGAGGGUGAUACGUGUACUUCUGUUAGCGAGAUGUUCAAUUUGAGUUUUGAUUUCUUCCUUUCUAUCAACCCUAAUAUCAACUGCGACAACUUCUUUGUGGGUCAAUGGCUUUGUACUGAAGGGAGUGCCUGAGUUGCAAGUUGCAACAGAUAUUGAUCAUGGUCAAUUGAGUAAACACUUAAUUGCACUAAUAAAGAGGAUAGAGCUUUGAUGUCCUCCCAAUGUAUUUUCAUUACUUUGUCAAUUAAAGAUGGACAAUUGUUAUUAUUGGCCAUCAGUGUUUAGUGGUGUUUUAUGGUUUCUUUCCUCACCUUGUCAUAACUAUGGUGAUUAGGGAGAAUGGGGAAGAAGCUCAAGCUUUGAAUUUCAGAAAUUUUGAAUAAUGAAGUAUUACAUUUUGAAUAAUGCAGUUGGAUUUGGAGGGAAAAAACCUGCCGCAUUUUGCAGUGCAGUUUAUGGUGCAGAGGAGGGUGAUACGUGUACUUCUGUUAGCGAGAUGUUCAAUUUGAGUUUUGAUUUCUUCCUUUCUAUCAACCCUAAUAUCAACUGCGACAACUUCUUUGUGGGUCAAUGGCUUUGUACUGAAGGGAGUGCCUGAGUUGCAAGUUGCAACAGAUAUUGAUCAUGGUCAAUUGAGUAAACACUUAAUUGCACUAAUAAAGAGGAUAGAGCUUUGAUGUCCUCCCAAUGUAUUUUCAUUACUUUGUCAAUUAAAGAUGGACAAUUGUUAUUAUUGGCCAUCAGUGUUUAGUGGUGUUUUAUGGUUUCUUUCCUCACCUUGUCAUAACUAUGGUGAUUAGGGAGAAUGGGGAAGAAGCUCAAGCUUUGAAUUUCAGAAAUUUUGAAUAAUGAAGUAUUACAUUUUGUUUGAUUACUCACAAUUAGUUCGAUACAGCUAAUCCGAACAAAAAUAAAAACACACGUAAUGGUUAUGUUCAUUUGCAUGUAUCAUGUUGAAGAAAAAUGUGAACCUCCCAACAUAAUUUCAUCACCGCUAAUUAAAUAAUGAGGUUUUAUUAAUUUAGGUUCGACCCAUUUGAGACGCAGUGUCUCUUAAUUACAAUCUCUUGCUUCAAGAAAACACCCUUUGAUUCCAUCAUAAAGAAACAAAAUGUGUGUAUUUGGUUUUGCGGCUACUCCCAAGUCCAAUCUCAAGGUGCUUACAUAUCUCUUCCAAGAAUCAAGUCACUCGUAGUUCAAAGAUUUGCAAUGAAUAAAUGACUCAUUGCAAAAAGGAGAAUUUGAAUGAAUUUGAUUGAAAAAGUGUUUGAGUGAAUUUAGUUGAAUAAACUAGGGAUUUGAUUUUGAUGUGUGUUUGGGGUGAAUUUGGUUAAGAAUAAACUAGAGAUUCUGUUUGGAUUUGAGAUUUGGAGAAUUUGGUUAAUGUAACCAGAGAUUCAAAUUUGGUUGCAGUUGCAUCUAUUAGGAUGCUAGACUGCCUACGUACUCUUGAUGUGAUCAAAUCAACUUAGUUCAGAAUUUUAGAAAUUAAUGGGUAAGUGUGGCCCAAUAGUUUAGAAUUUGUGUCUUUGAGACAAUUUGGAGAUUUUCAUAGGUAGAUGACCUAUUGGAAAAUUUGGAAAUAAAUGAGUAAGUGUGGCCCCCUAAUUGGGAAUUAGUGUUUGAGAUAUUUGAAUUUAAUCUCAUGGAAAUUUGCAUGGGUAGAUGACCCACAGAAAAAUUGGAUGGCUUUGUACCAUUUUCCUUAUUGUCAAUGUCCAAGAAAAAUAAUAAGCAAUUUUGAUUAACCCACUAAUUUUCUAAAAUUGACAUUUGCAUUUGGACCCAAAUAUGGCUAUGAGGACUUUUAAAAUUGAUCCAUUAACCAUAUAAGCACUUUGGGCCUCUGUAAAUUUAAUGAGUAAUUAUUUGGGUAACCCAUUAAAUAUUUUAGGCUUUUGAGAAUUAAUGGGCAAAUAUUUUUGACAACCCAUUAAUCUAUUUCGGGCCUUUGAUAUUUGAAAUCGAUUAGCCCAUGAACAAGGAAUCCAAAUCAUAAGGACUGCAGCUGGUAGCUAUCAAUUGAGCCAAACCGAUAGCUAAGAGUUUGCUUGCAACCAGGCUUGUAACUCCCAUAUCUACUCGGAGUAGUUGAGAUCAAUCCAAGUUGUGACACUCCUAUAUUCAUAUGGAGUAUUUGAGAUUAACUCAAAUAUCUCACCAUAAAUCUUCGACCUUUUAAAAUACCAAAUAAAAGCUUAAAAAAAAAAAACAAACAAACAAUUGAUGCACAACAGGCCGCGAGAGAAACCGACAUAUAGGUUCGCUCUCUUUUUUUUUUUUUUUUUUUUUUUGGUUUUUCUUGUCUUCAAAGAAGUGGAGAUAUCAAGGAAAUAGACCAUGCAACAUGCCCCCAACUCUGAUAAUUUCCGCCCCUCUCCUUUUGUUUGUUUGAUUGUUUUCUUGGAAGGCAGCUAACUUCUUUCUUCUUUUUCUUUUCAUGCAGUGUACUCAGAUAGAAAAAGAAAUUGAUACAAUUUUUUCAAACAGAGAGGGAGAUAAUUGGUCAGAGUGUCCAAGAGGUAGAGGUAUAACCCCUUUUUGCCCAUUUAUAACAUAACAAAAGGGAUUUUAACUUCUUUUAAAUUACAAAAUUGUCAUUGAUUUCUUAAAACAAACUCAACCCAAAAACCUUAUAAAAAGGCCCAAAACAUUCAAUAGGGCAUCAAAGUAACUUAAUAAUUAAAAUUAAAUUCAAUAGAGCCAGCUGUCAUUUUAUGGGUUUGUUUAUAUAAAUUAAAUAGUGUAUGACUUAUUUAUAGUUUUAUGCUAAGAAUGGGUAUAUGACUGAAUAUCUCUUUUUUAUUUGCUUCUGCACCUUUGCUUCAAUUCUUUUUUUCUUUGCUGCACUUGGUGGUAGAGAAUUAAUUUCUCAUUUUUCAUUUGCAGCUUAUUCAGGCAGAGAGAAUGGGAACUAACAGGACAAAAGUAAAGACCCAUUUCUUUUGCUAAACCUAAUUGUCAUGUAUCUUUGAACCCAUUUUUCUAGAGGUUCUGGGUUUCUCACCCUAUGGAUUUUUUCCAUCCAAUUAAUUUCAGGGUUUCUCACCCAUGGAUUUGCAUCCAAAUAAUUUCGGGAUUUCUCACCCAUGGAUUUGCAUCCAAGUAAUUUUAGAGUUUUUCACCUAUGGAUUUACGGCAUGUUAUGCCUAACAUAGAAAAGAAAAGGGAUAUUCAUUGAAAUGUCACCUGAACUUAUACCUUAGUUUCAAUUUGUCACAUGAAUUUUUCAAAAUCCAUGAUUUGUCACCUGACUUUAACAUCAUCCAAUUUUUCAACUAUUUUCAAGGGUAUUUUAGUCUUUUUAGUUCAAGAGCAUUUUAAAAAUGGAAAAAUCAUUAUUAAAAAAAAAAAAAAAAGACCCUUGAAAAUUAUAAAAAUUAUAUAUCUUUUUCACAUUUAACUUUUAUUCUUUUAAUAAUAAUUUUUUCCAUUUUUAAAAUAUCCUUGAAAAUGAAAAGACUAAAAUACCCUUGAAAAUAGAUGGAAAAUUGGAUGAUGUUAAACUCAGGUGACAAAUCAUGAAUUUUGAAAAAUUUAGGUGACAUUUCACUCAAAUUUUUUUUCAAGUGACAAAUUAAAACUAAGGUAUAAGUUCAGGUGAUAUUUAAACAAAUAUCCCAAAAGAAAAUAGAGGUGACAGUAUACCUGUAGCAAUUUUUUUCUUUUCUUUGCACUGCUCUAAUUUCUCCAGCAAUCUUUUUUAAUCUAUCGACAACUUCCUCCUUUUCUUUUCUUUUCUUUUCUUUUCUUUUUUCUGUUGUAGCCCUUUUAUGGGCCAACUGGAUAAGAUUCCCUUGAACAAAUAACAGUUUUGAAUUUCAAAUAAGUGCUGAUCAGAUUCAACCUCUCGUUUCAGGAACUUGUGAGUCUACUAAUUAUGCUCAAGCUGCUUCUGAUCCCCAUUGGCAACUUGCCAUGAAAGCCGAGUUGGAUGCAUUGCAACUCAAUCGUACUUGGACACUUGUUACUUUACCGCCUGGCCACAAACCCAUUGGCUGCAAAUUGGUUUAUAAAAUCAAAUACAAUUCAGAUGGUUCCAAAUUUCAAAGUUCCCUUUUUAUUUUCAUGUUUUUAUUUUCUCUCUCUUUUUCACAUUAUUGCUACCCCUCGUAAAUCUCUUUUAUUGUCUUCUUUUGACACUAAAUUUUGUAAUAAUAAACUACAAUUCAAAUUUUUUUAGUACGCAAAAUACAUUUAAUUGAAUCAACAUUUUUUGCUUGUAUUAAUGAUGAAUAAAUAGGUAAUGUCAUAUAUAAAAUAAUGGAGUAUCGUAAUUAAAUUUAGGGAUUUUGUAUCAAGUAAAAAAUUAAUUUAAAUAUCACAACUAUAAAGAAAAACAUUUCAAUAUUUAAGAUGCUCCUUCUGUACAAAGUUUUUGACUCCCCCACCGUUGAGAAGAUACCAGCACAAAAACAAAACUGGCGACACCACCGCUGAGAAGACAGAGACAAAGUGUUGAGGGGCUCAUGAAAACACCCCUGCCAUGACAAUCCCAGAAUAAUAGUAUCAUGAAUGGACCCCCUUGUGUGGUUAUCAAAGGCCAGCCACCACCACCACCGCCAUCAACCUUACCAUUCUUAGCCCUCAAUUCAAGAACUCACACAGCUUUGUUUCAUCGGGACGGAGGGCUAAAUCAGCGAGGCACAUGGCUGGACAUAAGAGUGGGAAAUGCUGGCCACGUUUGAAAGGUAUUUGCCAUUGAAAAUAUUUAUUAAAAAAAAAAAAAAAAAAGAAAAAUGACAUACCGCUAUCAUCAGUAAAUUAAAAAAAAAAUCAUAAUUAACCAAAGUUUGUUAAUUCACUUUCCAUUUUAAAUUAUUCUUUAGUGUCAUUGUUCAUACAGCGGUGGUAUACAGUAGAGUAAGACGGAGAAGCAAAUGGAGAAGCCGGCCCUCUUGAAUCAAAGGAAUCAUAGUAAUGUUCCAAGCUGGCUCUCUCUAUAUAUAUAGACUCCUAGCAACUCUUUUACAGCACAACCCAAGAAACACACAGUUUAUACUUCAUACUCAGAGGAAGAAGGUGAAAAAAAUGGCCAAGGCUGGUAGCAAAAUGGCACUAAUUCUUAACGUGAUUCUAGUGCUCUCUCUUGUUCUAAUGAUUUCCAUAGCUGAGAGUAGACAAGUUGGCAGUAACAGUAAGAAUUAUUAUCUUAACUUAAUUCCUUAUUUCCCUUGAAAUGCUUUCUUUUUAGUUUCACAUAAAUAUAUAUAUGAAGAAAAAAAAAUUUAGUUUUUCAUAUCUAAUACAUGCAUUCAUUUUUGCAGUUGGAUUUGGAGGGAAAACAGUUGGAUUUGGAGGGAAAAAACCUGCCGCAGUUUGCGCUGCAGUUUAUGGUGCAGAGGAGGGUGAUACGUGUACUUCUGUUAGCGAGAUGUUCAAUUUGAGUUUUGAUUUCUUCCUUUCUAUCAACCCUAAUAUCAACUGCGACAACUUCUUUGUGGGUCAAUGGCUUUGUACUGCAGGGAGUGCC
rnacentral:lncRNA from 1 species